rnacentral:misc_RNA from 1 species
UUGAAGUAAUAAGGGUUUUAGACAGAAUUUCAGGGAAUUGGGCGCAUGCUUAACAGUUUUUGACCUUUGCCCAUUUUCCGUUUUGAUUCAGGUACACCAUUUAAGUUGAAAACGGGUAAAAGAGGAAAUUGAAAUACAGUGUCAUGUCUGAAAAAAGUAACAAGACGCAUUCUCUCCAGGAUGUUCUUCUAACUUUGUCACCUGAAAAGAAUUUGGAAGGAGCUAAUAGUUUUGCAGAAGUUUUUAGAGCUCAUGUUUUUUUGAAAGGCUCAGAGGAAAAUGAAUGUUAUAAGAAUUCCAUCGAGAAGGUACUCAAAUUUAUUUUGAAAAGGAUGGAUAAUGAUCAAGAUCAGCUUAUCAUUACAAUUGGCAGUGGCGAUACCUGUAAUAAACUGACUUUUCCUCUGCUGUCAAUUGUCUCUGCAUACCAAAGUGGUGAGACAGAUUUUUUGGAGAGAAUGGCUAGGCACUAUCAAUAUCUUUCCAGUGGGGGUGACUUUCAGAAUACCCUUGGAGUUGUGCUCAUUCUAAGUAACAACUAUAAAAUGAGUGAAACAUGCUUUUCAGAAGCUUACCGUUGUUUUAAACAGCAAAACAACCUUCUGCGAACUGCUGUUGUUACUCUAAACCAAGCAGCUCUUUGCAAGGUCUCUGGAAACUACAAAAAAGCUUUGUCUUGUUGUCGCGAUGUGGUUGUGUUAAUCCAUGAUGUAAAGAGGACCAAACCAUUGAACUGUCAGGUGGCAACAAGAGUAUUGUUUAGAGUUGCCAAUUUGUUGGAGGAAUUCAGAGAUUACAAUAGUUAUCACAAGAUCCUUAGCAUUGGUGCAAAAUGUGAUGCAGACUGCAUCAAGAAAACCUUUUCAGUGAGGUACCUAAAAGAGCUGAUGACUUUGCAGCUGAAAGAAAAAGAGGGAAAAAUUAAACAGGAUGAACUGGAUGAGUUUACUCAGCAACUGUUUUCAAAGGUUACAACUCUAAAAGCAGAGUUGCUGAAUGCAGACUUUGUGAAAGCUGUUUUGAUUGUGGCAGAGAUGUACUAUGGUAUUGGCUGCUUGGAAAAAGCUUGGAAUUUGAUUGGAAAGUUGGAGCGGACACUCCUGAAUAUUCAUGGUGGAAAUUGUGCACUCUAUGGCUUUUUACUGUACCAGAUGGGUCUCUUUAAAGUUAGGCAUGGUGAGGCCAGUGAAGCUCAGGUCACUCUUCUAAAAGCUGAAGAAAUAUUCAUCCAUAACUUUGGUAGAGGGUAUCAUAUGGUGGCAUCAUGCAAGAGUCUACAGGGUACCUGUGCCUUACUCAAAGGAAAUCAAACAGAAGCACGCCAUCUUCUAAAUGAAGCUCAUACCCAGUUUGAGAAAAUAGAUAACCACCACCCAGAAGUUGGAGGAAUUCUUUUGAAGUUUGCUGAGCUGGAGAGCAAAGAUGGAAAUUUUGAAAAUGCCAAAUUGACUAUUGAAGAAGCAUUGGAAAUUGUUACACUGGCUUGUGGUAAGGUCUCUCUUCAGACAGCCCUUGCUUAUCUUCAAGGUGCAUCUAUUUUGCAAAGAAAAGGAGAAUUCAUGCUUCCAGCUUUGGACAAAGUGAAGAAAGCCAAUGAUAUCUUUGUUUACCUUGGCUUGCCCCAUGAUCAUCCAGAUGUUGCCUUCUGCCAUUUUUUGAAAGGCCGGUUACAGUUCUCCUUAGGUCAAGUCAAAGAGGCAGAAGAGGAGUUUCUCUUCGUACAUCACCAGCUCUCAUCACAGGAUGAAUUGUCUAUGAAGACCAAGGUUCUUGCUGCAGAACUUACUCCUAUGUUCACUUUGGUAGAUGCUGAUGGUUGUGCUAUUCAACAUUCACUCUGUUCCCAUUUUCUCUCUCUUAUCAGUCUGGCAGAUAUGAAAACAGGAGAUGAAAAAAGGGGCUAUUUGAGGGAACUUUUCAGUUGUUUUGAAGGGCUUCACACAGAGGCCCUGACAGUUUCAGAUUAUGCAGGAAAGCAUGUGCAUUGUAAAUCACAGAGGAUUUCAGAGGCUGACUUCAGUGUUAAUUGUAUUUUGAUGUUUAAUUCUUUACUGAACCCAUUCCAAACCAUUAAGGCCAGGGACUUAAGCAAUACUCAUGCUACACCAUCAAGAGAUGAGGUGUUCUUUUCAUCACCUUGCAGUGAUGAUAAGAGCAAGACACAAGAGGAUUAUGUGUACUUAUUGUCACCAUCCAGUGAGGAUGGAAAGAGGCUGCAACUUUUUCUCUUCUGGAAGACAUCUAAAAUCUUGGAAAAGCAAGAUUUAAGUUAUGUCUCGUCUUCUCUCCAGGAAAGUGUUAAACUGCUAUGUCUACAACCCAAGCUUCGGAAAGCCUUUUUUGGAGAACAAGAGUUUUGCUUGAAGCUGCCAAUUCAAAAGCAAUUGCCUGUUAUAUCUUCUCUUUGUUCCCAGAUUGAUUGUCUUCCUCUUCUAGUUGAGUUAGAGUUAUCAGAAUUACACAACCACUGUUUUCCCACCGUAUCUGCUGUUUGGCCUUUUGCACAUGUGUCUUACUUUUCCUAUAGCUUUUUUUCCUCUAAUAAGGCACUGCUUUCCUUUUACAAAUUGAUUUCAAGUUUAGGUAGAACUCUGAAAUUGUCUGAGGUUCUUAGCAUUUCAACUCCUAAGGUCUUUUCUCCCUCUCAGAUGAAUUGUGUGGUCUAUUUUACUUUUUUCGACCCCAUUUGUGCUUCCUUGUCUCUUGCUGUUGAGGAAGGAUCUGUUCAUGUAAAGUGUCGAACUGUAAAAAAUAGUGGGUCAACUUGCAUUUGUUGCUCAGUGAAAAGUGCUCUAGAGAGCACCUUGAAGUCUCUGGAGCUUAAUUUUGGAGGAUCAGUGUUUGAACCAACUCUGUGGUUGCCAUGUGUGGGGGACGGUGGUGAACAUGAUAAGGAGCAAGCAAGAUGUUAUAGUCAUUGUAAGGAAUUUCAAAAGAAGAUUUCUUCCUCCUCAGACCAAAAUUUGGAUUUACAUGCUCAAACAAAGUGGGAGCCAAAUUCUGGUACGCUAAAGGAAGGACCAUCUGUUGACCUGUCACAGAAUGAGGAUACCAAAAGCUUAUUAUUCACAGCCAACUCUGGAGACAAGAUUGGCAUAGAUGUUUGUGUUAGCCUUGUGAAGUGUUUUAUGAGAAACAGACAGUUAUCUCUAGAAGUACAACCUGUAGGCAUAAAUAAUGGAUCGCUUACUACUGAUGGCUCAGAAGAACAGGUAAACUCCCUGUUAUCUCCUGGGUUAUCCUUGCCACUAAACUGUCUGCCCUCGGGUCAAUAUGAUGCUAUAAAUGAAAAACAAGGGGUAAUGCAGAAAGUUUUGCCCUGUUUGGAGGAUGUUCACAAGGAAACAUGUUCAGGAAAAGAGACAGGUAUUAUCUCAAACACAUCGUCAACUUCACCGGCAUUUUUUGUCAUUAGUCAAAGCCAUGACAGAGCAGCAGAGAAGUCAAGUUGUGAAAAAGGUUUAAUGGCAGAUUAUCAUUGUAGCUUAGAAACCAAGGACAAUUUGGUACCGAAUGAAAUUCCUCAAGAGACGUGCAGGGUUGAAAGGGUAGGUACAUGCUUCAACAAAGAGGAGUUCAGGGAGGACCACAUAGUAGAAUUUGAUCAGAGUCCUGGACUUUCAUUUGCUACAGCUGGAAGAGAGAAUGACAAAGGGACUGUUGCCAUGGGUUCCCUUGUCUGUGAAUUGCAAGAUGAAGUUGUGUUCUACCAGGAUCAGUGUCAAGAACUAAGAGAAGAAUUAGUAAAACUGAAAGAGAAGUGGAAGCUCUGUGAAGAUGAGAAACAAGAUCUUCAAGCUGAAGUAGGAAGACAGUUGUUUUUAGAAAGCAAAGAAAGGCGAUGCAGCAAGAUUUAUCAGCCCCCUAGUGAACAUGCCAGUGGGACGAUUGUGCCUGGUAGAGUAAGAGGUGCAUCCCAUGACUUCUCAGGUACAGGGGCUAAACUGCUUGGUGGUGCAGCUCCUUCCAAUGAAUCAGGGUUGUUGCUUCAACAAAGACUUCAGGAGAUCUCAAAUUCCUUAUCAGAAGUGGACCUAAACCAGAUCAAGGGCCUAGUUCGACACAAAUUGAAUGGUUUUAGACUUGCCAGGAUCAGGGAGGGUUCAAAGUUGUUUGAGGAAUUAGAAAGAAGAGAGGAGUUUUCCUGUUCCUUUGUUAGAGAUCUUCUGGAAAGAAUCCAUCGUUUUGAUCUUGCCGAGAAACUUGCCGCCCCUUUUCACAAUGGCAACAAAUCAUACAGGAGGGAGUCUUGUUCACUUCAAGGGAGCAAACAACUGGAUGAGGUGUCUGAAAGUGUUUCUGGUGUCAAAGGUAAACAAUCUGAUGAAGUGGAAGAAAGGAAAGACACUUAUGACAACACUGAAGCUUAUGAAGAGGUCCAAUUUUGCAACGAUUCUAAUGUACACCCAUUUAACAGCGAAAGGGAAAUGGUUGCUGAUACUUUUCAUGCAGAGAUUGUGAAUGAAUCAAGUUUUGUUGGAGAUGAGGAUUUGUCAAAGGAGAGAUGUCACUCAGCAUCAGGCAUGUUUCAGACAUUUGAUGUGCCUAGUAUUGGAGUGGUAACUGAAGACAGGUCUCUGUCACCUUCAGUUACAGGUGGACAGGUUGAAAGUGGUGAGCUGAAAGGAGCAUGUGGUGCUGGAGAUGAAAGGGGCAAGGAAGGCUCAUAUCAAUCCUCUGCUCAUGAUGGUGAAGAGGGGGAGUUCAAUUUUAAUCAUCACUUCAAUGACACUGUAGAUGGUGUAAUUAAUUUACCAGAUAGAGCCCAAGAUAGAUCAGUGCCAGAAGACUUUACUGGUGUGAAUCAAGAUUCUCUUUCUUAUGGAGACAAAACUCAGAGUCAAAAUGUUUUGAGUGCAAGGAUCAUGGCUCAAAUGGAUGAGGCUAUUGAUCAGUCUGAUUCUUAUGUGGGAAAUCAGUCAAACAAAUGGGAGCGUUUAGGGGCCAGACCAAGAGACAGACCUACUAAAACAGAUAGAUCCCCAGAACCUUCUUUCCUUUACUCAUUGGAAAAUUUAGUUCCUCCAAAAGUUGCAGGACCUGUGGCUCAUCAUGGAGUGGCCAAUGCAUUCUUAGCUAGACACUCGGAAGACAAAAGUCUUCAUGAAAGUUUAUAUUACACUAAUGCUGAGAUGAUGUUUACCGAGAAUUCUUCGUUACAAGGAGCUUCUCGUGUAGAUGGCAUGGUGAACUUGAUGAACUCAAACAAAGCUAACCUAAACUAUAGUGACUGUCAAUUUUCUUCAAGGCAAGAUUCAUAUCAUCAACCACAUUCCUCAUUAUUCCCUCAGACUGGUGGAGCGUGCAUUGGAGGAAAUAAUGGUUCAAACACAAACUUCAACUUGUUAAAUCCUAAUAUAGCUAAUGGCUUUGCACCUUGUACAAGAACGCAAGAUGAGACUUUUCCAUAUUUACAAAGGGAUGACCUUCAUUCAGCAUUCACUGGUUCAGGAUUGACCUCUGAUUUCAUGCAGACCACAGGAUCUCAAACAGGUGCUUUUAACAUGUCAAAUUCCAAUUUCUCAGUAAAAGACUAUGCUCUUGGUACGAGAGAACCUCAAAUACCACCAGAUGGGCAUUUUGCAAGUUUGCACAUUAAUCAACCAAUUCAUCCAGAAUUCAAUGGUUCAGGCUUUGCCUUUGACCUGACAGGGACCACAGGACAUGAAAUGACACUUUCGGCUACUGUUACCCAUAGAAACAGUGACUUCAGUGGCAGUUCAUCAAUAUUACCUUCAACAACAAAUGUGGGAUUAUUAGGAACUUCAUCAGUUAAUAUGCAAACCCAUGAUUACCGUCCAGAUCCUUCCCCAACAGCAUUUUCAGGUGCAAGGGCUGAUGUUGAUGGUAAACAAUCUUUUGUGGAAGAAAGGAAAGAAAUUUUUGACAAUACUGAAAUUGAUGGAGAGGUCCAAUUUUGCAACAGUACUAAUGUACCCUCAUUUAACAGCAAUAGUGAAGUGGCUGCUGUUAGUUUCCAUGCAGAGAUUGUGGAUGAAUCAAGUUUUGUGGAUGUGGAUUUGUCAAAGGAGAGAUGUGACUCAGCCUCAACCUUGUCUCAGUCAUUUGAUGUGCCAACUUUUGGAGAGGAAUCCCAAGAGAGAUCUCUUUCACCUUCAGUUGCAGACAAAGAAUUUGAAAGUGGUGAGCUGAAAGGAGCAUGUGUUGCUGGAGAUGAAAGGGACAGAGAAGGCUCAUAUGAAUCCUCUGCUAAUGAUGGUGCAGAGGGACAUGUACAGUUCAAUUUUAAUGAUCACUUCAAUGGCACUGUAGAUGGUGCAGUUAAUUUACCAGAUAGAGGCCAAGAAAGUAUAAUGACGGUAGACUUUACUAUUGUGAAUCAAGAUUGUCUUCCCUUUGGAGACACAAUUCAGAGGCAAUGUGUUACAGGUGCAGGGAUCAUUGCUCAAAAAGAUACUGUAACAGAUCAGUCUGAUUCUCAUGUGGGCAAUCAGUCAAAUAAAUGGGAGCAUUUAGGGGCCAGACCAAGAGACAGGCUAUUUCCUACAGUGCAAAGAUCCCCAGAACCCUCUUUGCCUUAUUCCUCAUUUUUAAAUCUGGCUCCCCGACAAGUUGCGGGACCUGAGGCUCAUGGAGUAGCCAGUGCAUUCUUAGAAAGACACUCAGAGGAUGAAAAUCUUCACAAAAGUUUGUAUUACACCAAUGCCCAGUUGUUGACUGAGAACUCUUCAUUUCAAGGAGCUUCGCUUGUAGACAGCACGAUAAACUUGACCAACUCAAACCAAUUCAGACCAUACAUUGGUGAUGCUGCUUUCAGGCCAGAGCCAAUUUCUCAAACGCAAUAUUCCUUAUUGUUCCCUCAGACUGGUGGUGCAGACAGGAUAAGAACACCCUCCAUGUGUGAGGAGGAGAGGGAAAUUAGAACAGAAAGAGGGCUGCAAACCACCACUUUGGUAGUGGAGUCAUUAGACUCCACUCACAACAGCCAUCGGGCAUCUGAAGAAGGGAUCAAAGCAGCAGUGGCAAGAAUUCAAUCCAGGUGGCCAUGGUUUGGGAGAUGGUGUUGUACAUGUGCCUAUGGAUUGCAUAAUAACCAAGAUGUCGAUGCAAUUUGUACAGAUUGUUUCAAGUACAAGUACUGGUAAUGAAACGCUCUAAUUUGUAGCACUGCAAAUUAACCAGCACAACCCCAAACAGUAACAUUGAUGUCAUCUUCCAAUAAUUCACCUUGGACCUUGCAGGGUUAGACCACAAAAUGGCCAUGAUGAUCGUUGCAUCUUCCUGCAGGACGCAUUUAGCGGUAUACAGGUUUUACCC